CAUAAACAUUGGAGAUUCCUGCCAAGCUGAUCUUGGAAAAGGAACAAUCAGAGGAUUAACUAACUAAUCAGGUUUUACUGAAGAGGGUUUUUGAUUAUGAAGUCUCCAUGAAAACAAGCUUCACUUCCAACCCUACCAAAAACAACAUCCUUCCUAGCAAUGGGCAGAAGACAAAUCAAGGAUUGGGCAGUAUUGCUGAACUCCAAGCAACUGUAAAGAGAAGACCAAUGAUCCACAAGAGGGAGUCCAACCUCAUGAAACACACUUCGGCCAAGGGAAUAGACCAAAAGUUUCUCUUGUGAUAGGCACUUAUUAAGUUAAUGCAUAACCCUAAUGUAGUGCAUGACACAAAAUAUUUAAAGGAUGGCACAGAGAAUGAAAAAUCUACUGAGGUUGUAGACGUGAAUACAAGAAUGUAGCCUGGAAAGCAUGUGACCUGACUUCAGUUCCUGUUGUUUAAAGUGCAGUUCUUUAAUCAUUGUA